AGGAAGCAGAGACUCUGCUCUCCUCGUUUGGAUUAAUUCUGAUAUAAUAACUGUUGGUUUAUUUAUCGGUGCAGCAGCAGAACAUUUUCCACAGACAGUUUUCCUGCCCGUUGGCUUGUUUUAACCAGUUUUCUACCUUCGGCUGAUUCUACCAGCAGACACUGAAAGGACUUUAAUAGUUUGAGUGAAAAUGGCAGUUCCUCCUUAAGGUCAGAGAUUGCAGCAUCUGAGGGCCUCUUCAAAAGAAGACGUAGUUGAUGAAGGCGUUCUGGAGCAGGACCAGAAAGACCACGACCAAGCAGCCUUGAGAUCUUAGACAGCGUCUCCCUCAGGUCCCUCUCUAUCUCCCCACACAUCCACCAACCACUGGAACACAUCUCCAAAGUUCUGCCGGGCCAGCUCAGCUUCCCCUCAGAAGAAGUGCUGCCACCUGCCAGAUGAAGGAGCCUUUUGAGAGGCAGCUGGCAUCGUGAUUGGACUGUACUUUGGUCUGUUCCAAUCCAGCUUCAGCUCCAGAGACGGCAGGCGGGACGAGUCAACGGAGGCCGGGUGGACGAAGGCAUGCAGCUGAGUACAAUCCAGAAAACAACAGAGGAGGAGUGCAGUGGCCCAGGGCCAGAACAAGCAGAGUAGCAUCGUAUGUCUCUUAGAAAACAUCAUAGUAUAGCCUUUGGUAUGAAAAAACGCCAUCAUAUACAUCGUAUAUUGUACAAAUAACAAGUCAAAGGAAAGAGACAUACAUUGUAGAAUUGUAGUAAUUGUGGGCUGACUGAUUUACUGAUUAUCAGUAUUUUAUUUUUUACUGAUUUACGGUAAUAAAUACAUUUAAAAAUGG